UCUGCAAGCUCGGCUAUCGCUUUAAUUCGUUAAGGAGGAAAGUCCGGACAGCAAAGGGCAGCCUUCCGGUGAAGAGCCGGGGUUCCGACUGAAAUGUUGGAAAACAGACAGUGCCACAGAAAAUAACCACCAUGAAGUGAACUUUGUUCUCCUUCAUGGAAAGGGUGAAAAUGUGAGGUAAGAGCUCACAAACUGUAAUGGUAACAUUGCAGUAGGGUAAACCUAAGGUGCUGAAAUGCCAUGUAUACCGUCGCUUAAGAGCUGCCCGCUCAAUGACGGAGGGUAGGCAGAUUGAUUCCGUAACGUAAGCUGCGGAACAGAUAAAUGAUAGCCCACGACAGAAUCCGGCUUACAGGUUUGCAGAUUUU
rnacentral:RNase_P_RNA from 1 species